GACGAACGCUGGCGGCGUGCCUAACACAUGCAAGUUGAGCGACGAACCAGGGCUUGCCCUGGGGCAAAGCAGCGAACGGGUGAGUAACACGUGGGUAACCUACCCCGAUAACCGGGACAACCCGAGGAAACUCGGGCUAAUACCGGAUGUGCCCACUGGACUUCGGUUCAGUGCGUAAAGGAAGCUUCGGCCUCCGUAUCGGGAGGGGCCCGCGGCCCAUUAGUUUGUUGGUGGGGUAACGGCCCACCAAGACCGCGAUGGGUAGCUGGUCUGAGAGGAGGAUCAGCCACACUGGGACUGAGACACGGCCCAGACUCCUACGGGAGGCAGCAGUGGGGAAUCUUGCGCAAUGGGCGAAAGCGUGACGCAGCAACGCCGCGUGGGGGAAGAAGGCCUUCGGGUUGUAAACCCCUUUCAGGAGGGACGAAGGUUCGUCGGUGAAUAGCCGUCCGGACUGACGGUACCUCCACAAGAAGCCCCGGCUAACUACGUG
rnacentral:rRNA from 1 species